rnacentral:rRNA from 1 species
CAUGGAUUGGCUCAGAACGAACGCUGGCGGCGUGCCUAAUACAUGCAAGUCGAGCGGACCGACGGGAGCUUGCUCCCUUAGGUCAGCGGCGGACGGGUGAGUAACACGUGGGUAACCUGCCUGUAAGACUGGGAUAACUCCGGGAAACCGGGGCUAAUACCGGAUGCUUGAUUGAACCGCAUGGUUCAAUCAUAAAAGGUGGCUUUCAGCUACCACUUACAGAUGGACCCGCGGCGCAUUAGCUAGUUGGUGAGGUAACGGCUCACCAAGGCGACGAUGCGUAGCCGACCUGAGAGGGUGAUCGGCCACACUGGGACUGAGACACGGCCCAGACUCCUACGGGAGGCAGCAGUGGGAACCAUGGU